rnacentral:rRNA from 1 species
GACGAACCGUGCAAACGUUGUUCGGAAUCACUGGGCUUAAAGGGCGCGUAGGCGGGCAAGCAAGUCGAAGGUGAAAUCCCACGGCUCAACCGUGGAAGUGCCCCCGAUACUGCUUGUCUUGAGGGAGAUAGGGGCGUGCGGAACUUCCGGUGGAGCGGUGAAAUGCGUAGAUAUCGGGAGGAACACCGGUGGCGAAGGCGGCGACCUGGGUCGAUACUGACGCUGAGGUGCGAAAGCGUGGGGAGCAAACAGG